GACGAACGCUGGCGGCGUGCUUAACACAUGCAAGUCGAACGGAAAGGCCCUGCUUUUGUGGGGUGCUCGAGUGGCGAACGGGUGAGUAACACGUGAGUAACCUGCCCUUGACUUUGGGAUAACUUCAGGAAACUGGGGCUAAUACCGGAUAGGAGCUCCUGCUGCAUGGUGGGGGUUGGAAAGUUUCGGCGGUUGGGGAUGGACUCGCGGCUUAUCAGCUUGUUGGUGGGGUAGUGGCUUACCAAGGCUUUGACGGGUAGCCGGCCUGAGAGGGUGACCGGCCACAUUGGGACUGAGAUACGGCCCAGACUCCUACGGGAGGCAGCAGUGGGGAAUAUUGCACAAUGGGCGGAAGCCUGAUGCAGCAACGCCGCGUGCGGGAUGACGGCCUUCGGGUUGUAAACCGCUUUCGCCCGUGACGAAGCGUGAGUGACGGUAAUGGGUAAAGAAGCACCGGCUAACUACGUGCCAGCAGCCGCGGUGAUACGUAGGGUGCGAGCGUUGUCCGGAUUUAUUGGGCGUAAAGGGCUCGUAGGUGGUUGAUCGCGUCGGAAGUGUAAUCUUGGGGCUUAACCCUGAGCGUGCUUUCGAUACGGGUUGACUUGAGGAAGGUAGGGGAGAAUGGAAUUCCUGGUGGAGCGGUGGAAUGCGCAGAUAUCAGGAGGAACACCAGUGGCGAAGGCGGUUCUCUGGGCCUUUCCUGACGCUGAGGAGCGAAAGCGUGGGGAGCGAACAGGCUUAGAUACCCUGGUAGUCCACGCUGUAAACGGUGGGUACUAGGUGUGGGGUCCAUUCCACGGGUUCCGUGCCGUAGCUAACGCUUUAAGUACCCCGCCUGGGGAGUACGGCCGCAAGGCUAAAACUCAAAGGAAUUGACGGGGCCCCGCACAAGCGGCGGAGCAUGCGGAUUAAUUCGAUGCAACGCGUAGAACCUUACCUGGGUUUGACAUGGAUCGGGAGCGCUCAGAGAUGGGUGUGCCUCUUUUGGGGUCGGUUCACAGGUGGUGCAUGGCUGUCGUCAGCUCGUGUCGUGAGAUGUUGGGUUAAGUCCCGCAACGAGCGCAACCCUUGUUCACUGUUGCCAGCACGUUAUGGUGGGGACUCAGUGGAGACCGCCGGGGUCAACUCGGAGGAAGGUGGGGAUGACGUCAAGUCAUCAUGCCCCUUAUGCCCAGGGCUUCACGCAUGCUACAAUGGCUGGUACAGAGAGUGGCGAGCCUGUGAGGGUGAGCGAAUCUCGGAAAGCCGGUCUCAGUUCGGAUUGGGGUCUGCAACUCGACCUCAUGAAGUCGGAGUCGCUAGUAAUCGCAGAUCAGCAACGCUGCGGUGAAUACGUUCCCGGGGCU
rnacentral:rRNA from 1 species